rnacentral:misc_RNA from 1 species
UCCUCUCUCAAACCCCCGGGUUUGGUGUUGGACCGCGUUGGUCGUCCGCGACCAACUGGUCUCAAAGACAAUGACGGCGUCCCAGGGACCCUCUUCGCACUGAGCUUUCCGGAGCACGCGCAAGAGUUUCAAGGGCCCAGGGACCCGGUCGCCUCUAAAACUUUUUUCA